rnacentral:lncRNA from 1 species
GCUAAUGGAAUAAUAGGACCUGCUGGAGGCAAGUUCAUAAACUGCGGGCUGUGUAAUGGAUCAUCUCCAGGCUCUGCCACUGACUCCUCAAGAGAGACUCGUUGACAUACCUUUGCAUGAAGCAAUUCACUGCUUCUUGGAUCUCCCAUGAUUGUAUGAUUGAAGACGCUACUUCGUCUUCAAGGCAAAUUUGCUGUGGCCUCUCCAACCUGUCCUGCAGACUGAGAGGGGGAAAUCUGCCCCCAAGAGUGGAGUUGUACCAGUCAGAAUGAGGAUUUGCAUCGGUGCCCCCAUGGUUCGCAGCACUCUGGUGGUGGCUGCUCACCCCAAAUUGGACUUGGGGUGCCCACCCAUGGAAUGUGAGCACUCCUAAACCAGAGGAUUUUUGAGGAAAGGAUAAAAAAAGGUGUGUUUAAAGCACUGGAAACGCUGCAGAGCAUCCAGAGAAGGAAAAAGAGCAGGGAAAGGAGGGAAAGCUGAAAAUGGAACCAACAGAAGUCCAGGCAGGUUUGGCCCCAGGAGGAUGCUGGGAGAUGCUGAGGGCCUUUCUCUGCCCUCAUCGUGCUUUCUGAAGGCGAGGAGGCUGGGAUGCUUUGUGCAGGGACUGGAUGUGGGCAGGUGGAGCAGAAAGGUGGAGAAGAGACAAGACCAACAGGUUCCUGUGCUGCUGGGAUUGUGAGCAGCUGCACGCCUGAGCUGGGAUCCACCCUCUGCUGUGAGACAGCUCAUGAAAUGGGUCCAAAUGGGCUCUUUGGGGGUUUUAAAAACCUGGAUUGAAGGGAGGAUUUUUACAUGGGCUCCACUGUCUUUUGGGUGAGUCCAAACCUUGCUGGGGAGAUGGUUUGGACUUACUGGCACGAUGUAUGGAGUGUGCCUGCAGCGUCCUCCUGCUUGUCCCCAGCAUUGCUCACUGAACAUGAAGAUCCUCGAGCUAUUUUAAUCUGUUUUAACUAAACGAAUCAGCUCUCUGCUCCGUGGAGCCCACCGUGGUUGGAGAGGAAGAGGAUGCGUUUUGCAUUCCAGAGGAUGAAGGCAAAAUGCUUUUCAACUUCUGAGGUUGGCAAAAUCAAUUAAUAGGACACCGUCUCGCCCCACAGCCAGGGUGCAGCCCGUGCUCCUGCAUUAGGAAUACAGGAUGCUCUGAUGAUGCUGUACCCAGCCCUGCUCUGACCACAGGUUGAGAAGUCAUCUUUGCUCUGCCCAGCUGUGCACCCAGCCCUGCCCCUCCUCCAUCGUUAGGGAUUUGUUUGCUUAUUGCUGAAGUUAAUUUGGGUUUUGCCCUGCCCCGGCACCAUGGGAGCCCAGGGACAAGAAGCUUUUGCAGCUAAUCCUGGCCCAACCAGUGCAGCCAGUCAAGUGGGUCCAUUUCCCUGCUGGUGACCAUGAAGAGGUAGCAGGAGCUCUGCCAAUACAGCUUGGCUUGCAGAAUGACAUCCUUUGUCCAGGCUCUUUGCAUCCUCCUGUUAUUUCACACCCUGCUUAGAUUUCUUCUGGGAGAUCACUCUGGCCUCUGGGCUCUAAAACAGACGUAAACCCAUCUGGGCUGUGAGCAUGGCACUUUGGUGAUGAGAGACCACAAACAGAGCAUCGGGAAGAGCUGGGUGGUCUCAGCUCUUGAUGUGACACUAUGAACUGCCUGGUAAAAAUCUCCUUGGAAGAUCUGGGGCCAGAAAUCUUGAGCUGCUCCAGGCAGGGAUGGGCAGCACGUGGGGUAGCUCUGACCUUCGACUCAUUUUGCCUUUGGGAAAAACCAAUUCUUAUUCUUAUCCCUCUGCUCUGCUCGGAAUCUUCUCCGUGAGCCCAGGAGCUGGCUAGUUCUGCAAGGAGGACUUUGUCUUUCCCAUAUCUUACAUUCAGAUCCUGAUAGGGCAGAUAAGCCCCGGCUCCUUUUCCUCCCACAGCUUCCCACACCUGCAGCAUUGCAUGGGGUUGCUGUGGCCAAAGCACAGGACCCGGCACUCGAUCUUCUUGAACUCCAUCCCAUUGGCCUCAGCCCAGUGAUCAGCCUGCCCAGAUCCCUCCGUAGGGCCUUCCUAACCCCAGGAAGACCCACACUUUCCCCAGCUUGGUGUCAUCCAUCUGCAAACGUACUGAGGGUGCACUCAGUG